rnacentral:rRNA from 1 species
UACAGAGGUCUCAAGCGUUGUUCGGAUUCAUUGGGCGUAAAGGGUGCGUAGGCGGUGGGGCAAGUCAGGUGUGAAAUCCCGGAGCUCAACUCCGGAACUGCACUUGAUACUGCUUUACUAGAGUACUGGAGAGGAGACUGGAAUUUACGGUGUAGCAGUGAAAUGCGUAAAUAUCGUAAGGAAGACCAGUGGCGAAGGCGAGUCUCUGGACAGUUACUGACGCUGAGGCACGAAGGCCAGGGGAGCAAACGGG